UCGGGAUAUAACGCAGUUUGGUAGCGUGCUGCUUUGGGAGCAGGAUGUCGCAGGUUCAAAUCCUGCUAUCCCGAA
rnacentral:tRNA from 1 species